UACGGAGGGUGCAAGCGUUACUCGGAAUCACUGGGCGUAAAGGACGCGUAGGCGGUUAGGAAAGUCAGAUGUGAAAUCCUAUGGCUCAACCAUAGAACAGCAUCUGAAACUCUCUAACUAGAGUGAGGGAGAGGUCAGUGGAAUUAGUGGUGUAGGGGUAAAAUCCGUAGAGAUCACUAGGAAUACCUAUUGCGAAGGCGACUGACUGGAACUUAACUGACGCUGAGGCGUGAAAGCGUGGGGAGCAAACAGGAUUAGAUACCCUGGUAGUCCACGCCCUAAACGAUGUACACUAGUUGUUGCCAUGCUAGACAUGGCAGUGAUGCAGUUAACACAUUAAGUGUACCGCCUGGGGAGUACGGUCGCAAGAUUAAAACUCAAAGGAAUAGACGGGGACCCGCACAAGUGGUGGAGCAUGUGGUUUAAUUCGAAGAUACGCGAAGAACCUUACCUGGGCUUGACAUCCCAAGGACUCUGUAGAGAUACGGGGGUGCCAGUUUAACUGGAACUUGGAGACAGGUGCUGCACGGCUGUCGUCAGCUCGUGUCGUGAGAUGUUGGGUUAAGUCCCGCAACGAGCGCAACCCUCGUCCUUAGUUGCUAACAGGAAAAGCUGAGCACUCUAAGGAGACUGCCUUCGUAAGGAGGAGGAAGGUGAGGACGACGUCAAGUCAUCAUGGCCCUUAUGUCCAGGGCGACACACGUGCUACAAUGGGUAGGACAAUGAGAGGCGAUACCGUGAGGUGGAGCAAAUCUAUAAACCUACUCUCAGUUCGGAUUGCAGUCUGCAACUCGACUGCAUGAAGCUGGAAUCACUAGUAAUCGCGGAUCAGCCAUGCCGCGGUGAAUACGUUCCCGGGUC
rnacentral:rRNA from 1 species